rnacentral:rRNA from 1 species
UUCCCAAAGGUGACAUAGUUAAACUUCCGCGCCACCCUGUACCGUGCAAAGGUAGCAUAAUCACUUGUUCUUUAAAUAAGGACUCGUAUCAACGGCUUCACGAGGGUUUUACUGUCUCCCCUCUCUAAUCAGUGAAACUGACUUCCCCGUGAAGAGGCGGGGAUACACCUACAAGACGAGAAGACCCCAUGGAGCUUUAAACCCGCUAACAACCCCCACUAAACAUCCCCAUAUAAAUAAAAAGUAAUGUACAGCGGUUUUAGGUUGGGGUGACCACGGAGCAAAACAAAACCUCCACGAUGAACGGAAUAUUCAUCCUAAUCAACGAACUACCACUCUAAGAAUCAAAAAUUAGACAUAAUCUGAUCCGGUAACCGAUCAACGAACCAAGUUACCCUGGGGAUAACAGCGCAAUCCAUUUCAAGAGCCCCUAUCGACAAAUGGGUUUACGACCUCGAUGUUGGAUCAGGGUAUCCUAGUGGUGCAGCCGCUACUAAAGGUUUGUUUGUUCAACAAUUAAAACCCUACGUGAUCUGAGUUCAGACCGGGAA